rnacentral:rRNA from 1 species
CUACGGGCCGCACCAGUGGGGAAUAUUGCACAAUGGGCGCAGGCCUGAUGCAGCCAUGCCGCGUGUAUGAAGAAGGCCUUCGGGUUGUAAAGUACUUUCAGCGGGGAGGAAGGGAGUAAAGUUAAUACCUUUGCUCAUUGACGUUACCCGCAGAAGAAGCACCGGCUAACUCCGUGCCAGCAGCCGCGGUAAUACGGAGGGUGCAAGCGUUAAUCGGAAUUACUGGGCGUAAAGCGCACGCAGGCGGUUUGUUAAGUCAGAUGUGAAAUCCCCGGGCUCAACCUGGGAACUGCAUCUGAUACUGGCAAGCUUGAGUCUCGUAGAGGGGGGUAGAAUUCCAGGUGUAGCGGUGAAAUGCGUAGAGAUCUGGAGGAAUUCCGGUGGCGAAGGCGGCCCCCUGGACGAAGACUGACGCUCAGGUGCGAAAGCGUGGGGAGCAAACAGGAUUAGAUACCCGAGUAGUC